UUUGUUCAAUAAGAGCGUAUGUGUAUGAAUUUUACAGUUUUAUUCUUUGCAUCACUCUUACAGUAAGCAAACUGUGUAGUUUAUACAAAAUAAACCUGGAGUUUUAUAUAGUUAAAAAAAUCAUCUUUGGCUAAACAAAGCUCUCUCUAUUUUUAUACAUAUAUUUAUAUAUAUACACCCAUCAGAUAUUUUACAUUUAGGAACCUGUACACAUAAUUACAAUAGACAGAACAUUAAAAAAAGUUUCAUAAUUUACAAAAAAAGGAAUCCAAGUCGGAACCUAACCAGUCAAACCCAGCCCUCCCUCACCACCUGUACAGAUAAGAAAGUAAAUAACCAGACAAGGAAUAAACAACUUUGUAAUAAAAUACUGCCCGCUUUUUUGAGACAAAGAGGAAGCACUUGAGUGGAGAGAAGCUACUUCCCCCAGUGCCUUCAGUACUGUGCACAUUUUGAUCUCUAAGGAUAUGGUUGAAAGAGUACUCUUAGCAGAGUUCGGUUUUCCGCAAACAUGAAAGCUACUCUGCCAACUGGCAGUUGUGAGAACAGCUUCAGUUAGAUUUAAUUCCCCAAUAAGUAAACAAUUGUCAUCAAUGUCAAGAACAAGCAUGGGUGGGGGAUACCAAUCACCCACUGAAAUCACUAGGUGAUGCUGGCGUAGCAUGGAAGAUGAUACUUGAUCAUCAAAAGCAAAUGCUUUAGAAGUAAGUACAUAAGAUGGAAGACUGCCAGAACUGACAUCAUCGCCUACUCAAGUCAUUCCUUGUAACAGUUUCCAGAGCACUGCCUAAAAUGAGGAUGAUGCACUGUUUGGCAGCAUGACAAUCCAUUCCAUAGGUCACAUUUACAAUACUCCAAAGGUGUCAGUGGCAAUAUCACCAACCAAUUAUCUGAUGGUUUAUUAGAAUGAGAACUCUGUCCCAUUAGCUGGGGAAGGAGCAAAAAACCAUUAUGUUGAAACUGAAGCCGCGGUCAUUGGAUUCCGACAAAAAGCUAACUUAAUCCAAGUUGAAAGGUAAUGCACUUUGGUAGGGCUCUUAAAUGAAAUCUAAAUAACUCAGUAGAUGUUCUGACUGACUAAACAUGACAGCAAUUUUGAUCCUCAAUAAAGAAUAAAACCUCAAACAUCAACAAAUUCAGAAUAGAAAAAUCUGUGCAAUGUCCAGGAAUGUUUCUUAGAGGGAAUUAAAAAAUUAAAAAGCAAGCUUUUUUAGAAAUUUGGGAUAAAGCAGCAAAUGAGAAGUGUGUGUAUACAUAUGUACACAUACACACUUUUACUAUGUGCUAGUAAAACUGGAAGCAAUUAUAAGAGUUCUUUAAAAUAGAACAUAAUGAAUUUCUAAUGUACUAAAC
rnacentral:lncRNA from 1 species